UCGGAAUCACUGGGCGUAAAGGGCGCGUAGGCGGAUUAUCAAGUCUCUUGUGAAAUCUAAUGGCUUAACCAUUAAACUGCUUGGGAAACUGAUAGUCUAGAGUGAGGGAGAGGCAGAUGGAAUUGGUGGUGUAGGGGUAAAAUCCGUAGAUAUCACCAAGAAUACCCAUUGCGAAGGCGAUCUGCUGGAACUCAACUGACGCUAAGGCGCGAAAGCGUGGGGAGCAAACAGGAUUAGAUACCCUGGUAGUCCACGCCCUAAACGAUGUACACUAGUUGUUGGGAUGCUAGUCAUCUCAGUAAUGCAGCUAACGCAUUAAGUGUACCGCCUGGGGAGUACGGUCGCAAGAUUAAAACUCAAAGGAAUAGACGGGGACCCGCACAAGCGGUGGAGCAUGUGGUUUAAUUCGAAGAUACGCGAAGAACCUUACCUGGGCUUGAUAUCCUAAGAACCUUAUAGAGAUAUGAGGGUGCUAGCUUGCUAGAACUUAGAGACAGGUGCUGCACGGCUGUCGUCAGCUCGUGUCGUGAGAUGUUGGGUUAAGUCCCGCAACGAGCGCAACCCACGUAUUUAGUUGCUAACGGUUCGGCCGAGCACUCUAAAUAGACUGCCUUCGUAAGGAGGAGGAAGGUGUGGACGACGUCAAGUCAUCAUGGCCCUUAUGCCCAGGGCGACACACGUGCUACAAUGGCAUAUACAAUGAGACGCAAUACCGCGAGGUGGAGCAAAUCUAUAAAAUAUGUCCCAGUUCGGAUUGUUCUCUGCAACUCGAGAGCAUGAAGCCGGAAUCGCUAGUAAUCGUAGAUCAGCCAUGCUACGGUGAAUACGUUCCCGGGUCUUGUACUCACCGCCCGUCACACCAUGGGAGUUGAUUUCACUCGAAGCCGGAAUACUAAACUA
rnacentral:rRNA from 1 species